rnacentral:rRNA from 1 species
CCUACGGGGAGCAGCAGUGAGGAAUAUUGGUCAAUGGGCGUAAGCCUGAACCAGCCAAGUCGCGUGAGGGAUGAAGGUUCUAUGGAUCGUAAACCUCUUUUAUAAGGGAAUAAAGUGUGGGACGUGUCCUGUUUUGUAUGUACCUUAUGAAUAAGGAUCGGCUAACUCCGUGCCAGCAGCCGCGGUAAUACGGAGGAUCCGAGCGUUAUCCGGAUUUAUUGGGUUUAAAGGGUGCGUAGGCGGCCUCUUAAGUCAGCGGUGAAAGUCUGUGGCUCAACCAUAGAAUUGCCGUUGAAACUGGGAGGCUUGAGUAUGUUUGAGGCAGGCGGAAGGCGUGGUGUAGCGGUGAAAUGCUUAGAUAUCACGCAGAACCCCGAUUGCGAAGGCAGCCUGCCAAGCCAUGACUGACGCUGAUGCACGAAAGCGUGGGGAUCAAACAGGAUUAGAUACCCCAGUAGUC